rnacentral:rRNA from 1 species
UACGUAGGUGACCAGCGUUGUCCGGAUUUACUGGGCGUAAAGAGCGCGCAGGCGGUCGUUCAAGUCGAGUGUGAAAGCCCCCGGCUCAACUGGGGAGGGUCAUUCGAUACUGAUCGACUCGAAGGCAGGAGAGGGAAGUGGAAUUCCCGGUGUAGUGGUGAAAUGCGCAGAUAUCAGGAGGAACACCGGUGGCGAAGGCGGGUCUCUGGGCCGAUACUGACGCUGAGGAGCGAAAGCGUGGGGAGCGAACAGG